rnacentral:sRNA from 1 species
GGAAAUCUUGUACCAACCCAAAACAAAUAAGGGAAUGUUAAUCAGAAUUUGACUCAACCAGAAGAUGACGUUGUAAAUGGUGUCAGCAUCCACACUGACCUUGUUCGACCUAAUUAAAUAAUCCGCUAACCGUGCUAAGCCCUGACUAAUGGAAGCAAUGCCAAUGUCAUAUAAUCCAGAAAACUGGACAAACACAACUCCUAACAAGCCCCAAAAGAAGGCAAUCACGGAGAGAAUUAACAGCUGUAAGUACAGCUUUUUCACCUUGUAAAUUGCCUGGAACUUCAGAAACGAUCCCGAAAGGUGUACCCGUACCAG